AGCUUCGGCCAUCCGGCGAGGGAUGGGCCCGCGGUGCAUUAGCUAGUUGGUGGGGUAACGGCCCACCAAGGCAACGAUGCGUAGCUGGUCUGAGAGGAUGAUCAGCCACACUGGGACUGAGACACGGCCCAGACUCCUACGGGAGGCAGCAGCCAGGAAUCUUGGGCAAUGGGCGCAAGCCUGACCCAGCAACACCGUGUGGGCGAUGAAGGCCUUCGGGUCGUAAAGCCCUGUUGAUAGGGACGAAGGGCGAAGGGUUAAUAGCCC
rnacentral:rRNA from 1 species